rnacentral:lncRNA from 1 species
UUUGCUUGUAAAAUAACUGGCUUUCAUAUGAUUAAAGUUAACAACUCUGGUGUGACCUCAUAUUUACUAUACUUCUGCCAAAUGCCAGGUGAGCCUAUAGACUGUCUUGUUCAUUACACAUAGCAACACUGUGAGCUAAAUAUCAUUAUUCCCACUUUCUACAUAAGGUAUUGAAUACUUGGAGAAUUGCAGGGUUUGUCCAAGGGCCCAGAACUAAUUUGUGUCAAAUCUAAAAUUUGAACCCAGUUUAAAUUCUUCAUACCCAUUACAUAGUACCUUUCUAAUCAAGAGAUGAAAGAUAUAAACAAAUAAUGACUGUUAUUCUACAGUGUGACCUUUGGGGGAAAAACUCACAACCACAGGAUUCCCACGGUUAAUUGAGUGGGAAUUUUCUGUGAAGCCUUAAUUAACCUUUUGUGUAUGGGUAUCAAAAGUCAACUGAAAUGGAACUAUAGUCAUUUUCAGUUUCCAUUGUUCUGGUACCAGUCCCCCAAAACUAGAAUGUUUUCUCUAGGGAUAUAUAGAAGGUAAGUUAUGGAAACCUUUCUUCAGAGCCCUAGACAUCACUGGUCCUAGCUCAGGCUGCUCUCUUUCACACCUGAACUCACUUUGGGGGACAGAACCCAUUUUCAGAAGCAGUAACAUGUUAGUAGCAGAAGCAGAAACUAUAAUGGCAUUGAAGUCAUCCCAGAGAAAAUGUGCUCAGCAGCUUUCUGGUAGCAUGCAAAUGCAGUACCUCAAUUCUUUAUUUCUAUGCCUUGCUGGGAAUGUAACUGAGCAGGGCACAAAAGCCUUUCUGUGUGCUUCAUUUCUUGUUUUUAGGAAAUGGGCCUCAUUCAUCCUUCAUGAAAUUCCCUGAGUUCCUAGAAGGAAGGGAGAAGCAAAGACAAGGGGGGAACAGUCAAGAAAGAGCAGUGCAGGCUUGGGAGCAGGAUCCUGGUUCCCUCUCAAGGAAUACACAUAAUGAUAUAGGCAUCUUAUGCCUAAUAGAAAAGUUAUACCUCAGAGAAAAUUUAUAUUCCUUAUGCUUCUUUAGAAAUGAAUACUUUAAAAUUAGAACCCCUCCUUGUCCUUCUCCCUGACUUAAUUGCACCCUGAACACAGUCACCUAAUAAGCUGAAGAUUGGGUACCCUGAGCACAAUUGGCUGUGGGUUAAAGAUUAUUAGCACAUGAUGUUUUUGAGGAACUUUCCUAGUUUGUUCUAAUCUCUGAUCAAUAUGCCCUUUUCACAAGUGCUGUUAUUCUAAGCAAUGACCCAGAAGAACACCAUUGUGAUCAUUCGAGGCCUCCUGAUGUCAGCUUUGAUGACUGAUUCCCCCAUCCCCCAUGCAAAGAAAGAAUGCAUGUCUGCCCCAAUCCUCAUUCCUCUCUGAAAACCUGUUUGUUUGUUUGUUUGUUUGUUUGUUUUUUUGCUUUUUACUAUAAAACUCCCUGCAAUUCUUCCCAAUGGGUAGCACAGUCUUUAAGGCAUUAGCCUGCUCUGUCCCCCUUUGCUUGGCAAAGCAAUAAAGCUAUAUUUCUCUCCUUCACCGCAAACUCUGUAUCCAUGUCUCUAUUUGGCACUGGUAGACAGAGGCCAAAUUUUGGCAACCGGAACACUACAGGAUAUUAUGAAUAUGGGAGAACCAGUAUCAGUAGUAAAGACCUAUAGAUACAGGAGCUGCUUAUGAACAUCAGAAGUCAAAAUAAAAUGAAGGAUUAAAACUGACAAUCAUUUCCCAGUGAUUUAAACUACUACUUUGUAUUACUACAGUUUUUGUUUACUGAAUCUUCUUGUAAGCAUUUGCAUUCAUUUUUUAGUGUUCAGAUUGCCAUAUUGGCCACAAUUUUUCUUCAUCCUGCUCAUGACUUGAUUAUUAAAAGCCUAUUUUUAAAAUUAUUAAAGUAUAGUUGAUUUAUAAUGUUUCAUCAAGUUCUGUUGUACCACUAAGUGACCCAAUCACACACAUUUCCCUGUGCUGUACAGUAGGGUCCCAUUGCCCAUCCAUUGCAAAUAUAACAGUUUGCACCCAAAAAAUGCCCCAAAUGUCCAUCCAUCCUACUCCCUCCCCUUUCCUCCUUGGGAACCCCAAGUCUGAUCUCUUUGGCCAUGACUGUUUCUGUUUGUUGGUUUAUUUAGAUAGGAUCAUCUCUUCCAUAUUUUACAAAUAAUGAUAUCAUAUGGUAUUUGUCUUUUUCUUUCUGGCUUACUUCAUUUAGCAUGAGAGUCUCCAGAUCCAUCCAUGUUGUUGCAAAUGGCAUUAGUUUGUCUUUUUUAUGGCUGAGUAAUAUUCCACUGUAUAUAUGUACCACAUCUUCUUAAUCCAUUCAUCUAUCAAUGGACAUUUAGGUUGUUUCCACAUCUUGGCUACUGUAAAUAGUGCUGCUAUGAACAUUGGGGUGCAUGUAUCUUUUUAAAUGAAAGUUUUGUCUGGAUAUAUGCCCAAGAGUGGGAUUUCUGGGUCAUAUGCUAGUUCUAUAUUUAGUUUUUUGAGGUACCUCCAUACUGUUUUCCAUAGUGGUUGUACCAAUUUACAUUCCCACCAAUGUAAAUAGAGGAUAUUACAAGCCUAAUAACCACAUGGUGAUAUACUGACCAUUUCAAGAAGCUAUCUGCAGUGCCUCAAAGUGGCAAAUUCUGACAAAUUUCAUUUUUGUCAUCAUUUUAGUUUAUUCCAUAAAAUUGAGGGUUUCUGAAUCCCUGCCCAAGGGACUAAAAAAAAGUGUGGAUAAUUUUGGUUUUGCUUGGUGAGAGGGAUGGGAGGAAGCGGGAUUUAAUUGCAUGCCUCUGUGCAUAUCAUAUGAUAAAUUAAUGCAUUUUAACCAAGCCAAAUAGAUCCUAGACAUUGGAUGCACCAAAUUUUGUGAAACUUGUAAACAUUUUACUGUCUAUAGAUUAAAAAGCCAAAUACCAUUGAAACUUCCUGGGCCCUUUAGCAUUAACAUUCCUGCCACUGAGACUCUGUCAGACAAAAUUCUAAUUCAUAGGCUGGAAAACAAUAAAAAUCCAAUACUAAAUACCUAGAAGUUGUCCCUAAAUUGUACUUAUCUCCAAAAUGAUUCCUAAAUUUUUUUUGUACAUCACUUCAGAAAACAUGCCUAUCCUUACAGUUCAGUCACCCCUCUCUCCACCACACACACUCACUGGGUAUUUGAGAUCUCUCCCAGAUCCAUGAACCAUGUCCACAGGGGCUGGGGGUGGGGGGUCUUGGGAGUCUUCUAUUUCUAGCUCUGACUACUUGCUUAAUUCUCAGUCUUGGACCUGCAACUGCUUGCUGAGUAUUAUGUUCAACAUGUAUUUACCAUACCCACUGUAUGCAAAGUACUUUAUAAAAAGGAGAGUCAACAAAUAGAAAACUGUGGGGUAGACAAUAUCUUUGUUUCAUAGGAGGAAUAGCAAGGCACAGGUUAUUAAUAAAAAACAAAUUUAAAUAGGUAGGAAAAACAAAACAAUAAAAAUUGUAUAUCCUAAAUGCAACCAUGUAUUAACUUGAAGUCAGAAACCUCCUUCUAUCACUGAUUGUCAGGAUUCAAUACUUUGAAGUUGAAAUGCUUUAUGGGUUGACUUGAAAUAACUCUUCUUUUCCUCUCCCAUAGACAGUAUUUUAGAAAUUUAGAUUUUUUUUUUUUUAAAUCUGACUACAUCCAAUGUGGUACUGUGUUAGCUUUUGUGAUGAGAACACAAUCCCAAGGAUGUGGGGGAAUUUGUUAUUUCUUUUUUUUUCUUUUUUUAUAAUGAUUUUUAUUUUUUCUAUUAUAGUUUGUUUAUAGUAUUCUGCCAAUUUUCUACUGUACAGCAAAGUGACCCAGUCACACACACAUAUAUACAUUAUUUUUCUCAUAUUAUCCUCCAUCAUGUUGCAUCACAAGUGACUAGAUAUAGUUCCCUGUGCUAUACUGGAGGACCUCAUUGCUUAUCCAUUCCAAAUGCAACAGUUUGCAUCUACUAACCACAGACUCCCAGUCCAUCCCACUCCCUGCUCCUCUCCCUUGGCAAUCACAAGUCUGUUCUCCAAGUUCAUGUGUUUCUUUUCUGUGCAAAGGCUCUUUUGUGCCAUAUAUCAGAUUCCAGAUAUAAGUGAUAUCACUUCAGUAUUUUUCUUUCUCUUUCUUCACUUAGUAUGAGAGUCUCUAGUUCCAUCCAUAUUGCUGCAAAUGGCAUUAUUUUGUUCUUUUAUAUGUCUGAGUAGUAUUCCAUUAUGUAUCUAUCCACAUCUUCUUAAUUCAUUCAUCUGUCAAUGGACAUUUAGGUUGUUUCUAUGUCUUGGCUAUUGUGAAUAGUGCUGCAAUGAACAUACGUACGCAUGUGUCUUUUUCAAGGAAAGUUUUGUCUGGAUAUAGGCCCAAGAGUGGGAUUGUUGGGUCAUAUGGUAGUUCUAUGGUACCACCAUAUGGGUGCAUGAGUCUCUUUCAAGGAAUGUUUCAUCGGGAUAUAUGCCCAAGAGUGGGAUUGCUAGGUCAUACGGUAGUUCUAUAUUUAGUUUUCUGAGGUGCCCCCAUACUGUUUUCCCUAGCGGUUGUACCAAUUUACAUUUCCACUAACAGUGCAGGAGGGUUCUCUUUUCUCCACAUCUUCUCAAGCAUUUGUUAUUUGUGGACUUAUUAAUGAUGGCCAAUCUUACUGGUGUGAGGUGGUACCUCAUGGUAGUUUUGAUUUGCAUUUCUCUAAUAAUCAGUGAUGUUGAGCAUUUUUCAUGUGCUUAUUGGCCAUCUGUAUAUCUUCUUUGGAGAAACGUCUAUUCAGGACUUUUGCCCAUUUUUCCAUUGCUUUUUUUGCUGUUGGGUUGUAUAAGUUGUUUGUAUAUUUUAGAGAUUAAGCCCUUGUCAGUUGCAUUGUUUGAAACUAUUUUCUCCCAUUCCAUAGGUUGUCAUUCUGGUUUUUUUUGUUUUUGUUUUUGUUUUUUUUUAUGGUUUCUUUGCUGUGCAAAAGCUUGUCCAUUUGAUUAGGUCCCAUUGGUUUAUUUUUGCUUUUAUUUCUGUUGCCUUGGGAGACUGACCUAAGAAAACAUUUGUACGGUUGAUGUCAAAGAAUGUUUUGCCCAUGUUCUCUUCUAGGAGUUUAAUGGUGUCUUGCCUUACAUUUAAGCCUUUAAGUCAUUUUGAGUUUAUUUUUGUGCAUGGUGUGAGAGUGCGUUCCAAUUUCAUUGAUUUACAUGUGGCUGUCCAGUUUUCCCAGCACUACUUACUGAAAAGACUUUUUCCCAUUUUAUAUUCUAGCCUCCUUUGUCAAAGAUUAACUGACCUGGGUUGUUAUUUCUUACGAAUGGGCCUCUUGGGACACAAACUUCCAAGGCAGCAUCAAACCACAGACACUAGGAUAGAGGUGACAAGCCAAAAGGUGUAGGCUACAUGAGGGGGCAGAUGCUGCUUAACAGGUUUUUUAAAACUGCAAUGAGAGAAUCUUUAUUUUUAGAUUAAUCUGUCUGCAUUCUGAAAACUCAUUGUGACUAAAAUCAAGAGCGUUACACUGCUAGGCUGUUUUUUAAUAGAAACAUAAUAACCACAUUAAGAAAAGUAUCUAUGCUAUAUUACUUUCCUUCUGAUACUAAACCAUGUUAGAGCAAAGUAUACUUUACUGACUUAAAAUAAUACCAAUUUAUUUUCUUACAGUUCUGGAGGUCAGAAGUCCAAAAUCAAGAUGUCAUCAAGGCUGCAUUCCUUCUGGAGGUUCCAGAGGGGAAUUAGUUUUCUUGCCUUUUCUAGCUUCUAGAGACCACUUGCACUCCUUGGCUCAUGGCCCUUUCUCUACCUUCAAGGCCAGCAGCAUAGCAUUUUCCAAUCUCUCGUUCUCUGACUGUGACACCUGUUUCUCUCAAUACGUAUUCUUUUCUGAUGAUGGCCCUCCUGCCUUCCUCUCAUGAGGACCUUGUUACUACAUUGGGCCCACCUUGAUAAGCUUCCCAUCUCCAUCUCCUUAAUUAUAGCUGCAACAUUCCUUUUGCCAUUUAAAGUAACAUAUUUACAAUUCCUCGGGAUUAGGAUGUGGACAGCUUUUUUUUUGGAGGGGGUGUCAUUAUCUGGCUUCCCACAUAUGCCAUUUAUUUCAUUCUGGUCAAAAAACACUUUGGAGUAGUGUUUCCAAAACUGGCAUAACAUUUUCAGUAAGAAAUUGAUAAAUGAUAUUACAUAGAAGAUAAAAAUCAUGAAUCAUUCAUUCACUCAGCAAACAUUUGUGAAGUGUUCAUUCAUGCCAGGUACUGGGCAAGAAGAACUCUGGGGACUCAUAGAGCAUGUGAGGCUGUAGAGUGUAGUGCUUUUGAGCCAGGACCCUGGAGUCUAAUCAUCUGGUUUUGAAUCCUUGCCUCACCAUUUAUAUACUGUGUGACCUACACAAAUUACUUAAUCUCUCUGUGCUUCAGUUUUGCCACUUAUGAAACUGAGAUAAAACUAUAACUGUCCCCCACAGGGUUCUUGUGAAGAUUAAGUGAGACUCUUGAUAAUGCCUUUGGUACAAUGACUGGCAUGUAGCAUUCAGUAUGCUGGCACUGAGGAGGAACGAGAAAACAAUAGUGGAGUGUAAGAGUGCAAAAGGGCCACAGGGAAUUUGGAAAGGCUUCCAGAGCAGGGUCUCGAAAGUUGAGUUUCUGGGAAUCACUGAGGAGAAAGAAGGGAUAGGCAGUGAGAAGCCAUAGUACAGAAUCCGAGGAAUGGCUGAGAAGACUGGGGGACUUUAGCUUAGGAGAUUUAGGGAAAGGUUUAGGAGUUUCAUGAGAACUGCAUUUAAAUCCUGUUGUUUGGGCAGCUGACACAUCAAAAAGAAAUUAGACUUAUUUUACUUCUAUUCCAAAAAAUAUCCAAGCACAAAUGGAAAUGACAAAAACAACAUUCACCUCAAUAUUUGAAAGAGCUUGUGAACAAUAAGGUUUCCUUUAACUGGGUCGAGGAGGGGAAUGAUAAUAAACAUUUCUCUGUGUUCCUCUGACUGUCAGGUACACUGCCUUCUUUAUGGAAUAGUCUGUCUUACAUCCAUUAUCCCUUGUACCCUUGUCAAGUAUUUUAAGGAUUCAGUGGGCCCUAGACUUUAAGGGAGACUGAGCUUUAUACAGUCCCAGAGUGUAAAUCAGGAUUGUUUAGAGCCAACUAUGGUAACCACUGCUUUUGUGGUUGAAGAGGUUAGGAAAGUGCAUACAAUACAAUUCCUGCCAAUGAAGCAGGAGAGGGAGGUCUUUGGAAAAGUUUUCCUUACCUCCUCAAAAGAUAAAUGGGGAAAAAGAGAGCUCUCCAUUCCUCUUCCAGCUAUAAGACGUCAAGCCAAUAUCUGAGGAAGGUAGAACAAGAAGACAGAAAGGGUCUGGAUCCUUGAUGAAAUGGACUACCUGAUAAAAUACAUGACCCUGGAAUCAUUGUAAACUAUGGCAGUUUAUUAUAUAUUUGUGCAAUAUAUUAAAAUACACUCGGGAGUUCCCAUCGUGGCUCAGUGGUUAACAAAUCUAACUAGGAACCAUGAGGUUGUGGGUUCGAUCCCUGGCCUUGCUCAUGGGUUAAGGAUCCGGCAUUGCCAUGAGCUGUGGUGUAGGCUACAGAUGCAGCUCGGAUCUGGCAUUGCUAUGGCUGUGGCGUAGGCCAGCGGCUGUAGCUCCAAUUAGACCCCUAGCCUAGGAACCUCCAUAUGCCAUGGGUACAACCUUAAAAGACCAAAAAAAAAAAGGCAAAAAAAAAAAAAAA